GCGGCAUUGGCCUAAUGGCAGGGCAUCUGCUUCCCAAGCAGGGGAUUGCCGGUUCGAGUCCGGUAUGCCGCUCCA
rnacentral:tRNA from 1 species